AAGGGGACAAAAAAACAAAACAAAACAAAAAGGUUGUGUUGGAGUUUGAACUGGGGAGGGGCAGCCUGGCCCAGAAUGAUGGAACCGUGUUACAGGUAGCUGACUUAACGCCCUUUCGUGCGAAGUUAGGACGAGACUGAAUGAAUGGACAGGAAAAAAAAAAAUACAGCAAGGAAAGUAGGAGAGAGAUCCCUUCUUAAGGAAAGGAUUGGCCAAUGGAAAUGCAGAUCACUUCCUACAUCAGAAUGUCCUACAGAUUCCUGUCCUCGUCGCCCAUUAAGUCAAGGACUGCUGCAGAGGCCUGCUGUUCAAAUGCCGUGCCUUCCCCUCCAACACAGAGCCUGCAAAAUUGAGGAAACCAUUCGUUCCACCAGUUGCCCUCUUGUGUGUUUUGGAGAUCCUGCAUAAGUGACUCUCUAGCACAGAGUUCUCCAUUGUAACCGAGGUUAUUUCCCCCUAAGUAAGGGGUUUGAUGUGCCCACCACCCCUGGCCUGGAUCCUUUACAUAC